rnacentral:rRNA from 1 species
UACGGAGGGCGCAAGCGUUGUUCGGAAUUACUGGGCGUAAAGCGCGUGUAGGCGGCCAGGUAAGUCUGAUGUGAAAGCCCGGGGCCCAACCCCGGAACUGCACCCGAUACUGCCUGGCUGGAGUCCCGGAGAGGAUGGCGGAAGUUCCGGUGUAGAGGUGAAAUUCGUAGAUAUCGGAAGGAACACCAGUGGCGAAGGCGGCCAUCUGGACGGUGACUGACGCUGAGACGCGAAAGCGUGGGGAGCAAACAGG